AUAAGGAGAAUUGAAGGACUUAUCACUCCAGACAUCAUCAGUGACACCGGUUACUGAAAGCGAACCCGUAACUCUUGAAUAAGUCAUCGUUGUAUCCGAAUAUCUGCAGCACUUUAUCUUCCUGAAAGACAAAAAAGAAAAAUGAAGUUGUUUGUUGCAUUGAUAUUAACUGGUAUAGCCGUCAUUGUUCAAGAUUGUCUUGGAGUAACGUAAGUAGAUUUAUGUUAAAACUUCAA
rnacentral:lncRNA from 1 species